rnacentral:snoRNA from 1 species
CUGUAGCCAAUUAAGCCAACUGAGUUCCUUUCCUCAUGUGAGACUGGUAUGCAAUAGCUGCAAACAGCCACCUCCUUGGUAGUGGAUGCAGCCUAGUCAUUGUCAUUGACCUUGGAGGCAGUU